rnacentral:lncRNA from 1 species
GGAUUUCUCUCCUUAUGAAAGGAAGGAAUAGAAAUUGAUGGGAUCACACCUGCACUGCUACUCCAUCAGAAACAAUCAGAUUGUAAAUUAUAUUAUUGCUAUUAUCUCCAAAGAGUGGCUGAAAUAACUCCUGGGAAUACCUGAAUGCUGGAGGGAGAAAUAGAUGGAGGAUGAUUAUUUCAGAAACUGGAAUCCAAACAAGCCCUUUGAUCAAGGGAUCUUGAAUCUUGGACAUGCUUCCAGCCUUGGUCUGACCCCUGCUUUGGUGAUCCUGGUGUUGCAGAUUGCUUCCCAGCUCUGGUCCUGACAUCCGUC